GUUCAUGCCUGAUUGUAUGCAGAAGCCAGAGGGGCUUCCAUCCAUACCUGAUGUGGUGCUACACAAGUGUAACCAAAAUAAGUUGCCACCGGACCCACAGGGUCUCGGCUCCAGAGACUCAAAUAUCUCAAAUAUUCCAGCAGGAACUGGAAGCAGCUGUUUCAGUUUUUAUGAUGAUUGACUUUUCCAGGCCAGUAAUCGUGAGAGGCUUCAGGACGAGCUGGAGGAGGCGAAAAAACAAAGCUCGCAGAAAAACCAGGGGUAACGUCAAGUUCAUCGGGGAGCUGUUAAAGUUGCGGAUGUUGACCGAGUCCAUCAUUCAUAACUGCGUGGUAAAACUGCUGAAACAAAAUGACGAGGAAAGUCUCGAGUGCCUCUCUAUUCUCCUCACCACCGCCGGCUAAGAGAUGGACUUUAAGAAGGCCAAGUUACCAGCAGAUGAUAAGAUUUAUUUGGGACGAAUUUCAGGGGACGACGGCUGAACUGGAAGAACGGCUGCGAUGGAGAAACUAGCGCUAGAGCCACAUCCGGAGCAUCAGUAAAACUCGACGCAGUGCCAGACUCGACUACAAACAAGCUGCGCUAUCAGAGGAGGAAAUGGAGAAACGCUCUAAAUCCAUUAUUGAGGAGUUUCUACACAUAAAUGAUUACAAAGUAAUGAUCUCAUGCAGUGACCUGGACCACGCUGGAGCGAAACCAGAUCACACGUGACCACGUGGGUCAUCUGUUCCAUCAGCUGCUGCAGGCUGGGAUCCUCUCCACAUCUCAGUUUUUUAAAGGGUUCUCAGAAACCCUCGAGAUAGCAGAUGAUAUGGCGAUUGACAUUCCUUAUGUAUGGCAGUACAUAGCGGAGCUCGUUAAUCCUGUGCUUCGGGAAGGAGGAAUCUCUUUGAGAUAAUUAUUAAUAGCCAAAAGGAAGUGGAGGUCUUAUGGAGGGACUCUAAACUGAGCUGUGCUGAUUUUCUUCCUGAAACCGUGGAUGGGAAUUUCAUUUGUUAGUAUAAGAACAUUGUCAGUGAACUCAAAUGGCAGCUCGUCUGAUCAGAAAAGAGAAAAGUGUUUGUGUUUGUGGUGUAAAAAGCAGUGUGUUGGUUGGUAGACUUGAUGCAGUUUUAUUUCUAAACCAGCACAAAUGCUG